UUAUACGACAUAAAUUUGUUCACUUAAUCACACACCGUUGUGUCAUGGUACUUCAAGCAGGAUCGUAUGUAAGCUGGUGUAUUUUUUUAAAUCACUAACGUAAGUAAUCAUUUGAGAGCUGUCAUUUCCAGUAAGGGAACAUAGUGAGCCUCGAGGCUCUCCCUGGUUUUUGUGGUGCAGUGUGGGAUUUUUUUUAGGGAGUGAGGAGAGUUGUAGCGCACUGGAAGGAUUUCACGAUUGAGACAGCAGUGCCCUGACUGCUGAACUAGGGAGCUGAUUGAGACGCACCCCAUAACGAUUUUACAGCUUCAACACACUGUAUGGGUUGAGAUCGUUGUUUCCAGCAUUAUUUCCUUUUUAUUUGUCAUCUAUGUAUGUAUAAAAGAGAGACCAGUUUCAUUUUAGGAAAGUCUGUAAAAUGGUUUGCAGAACUAUAUACACUAUAAAACUGAAACUGUUAGUUACACAGUGUAGGAUUUCCCCACGCUGCCCCACACACAUCCAGUGUUAACAGAAGGGGAUCUGUUAGAGGAAGAGGAAGGCUUGUCAGUGUUUUCAUUGCAGCUCCAGACCACAUUUCACCUUUCAGCUGCGGUUAGCGCUCAAAUGAGGCUGCACUUUGCAUACGAGAGAAAACAAUCACAUGGACGUUGCAUCUGUAUUCGUAGCACACUUUAUGCGAACAGCCAUCUGCAUCGGCUGUAGGUCUGUAGUGAAGGCAAGUGAGUGAGGGAGGGAGGGAGUAAGGCAGGUAGGUGAGUGAAUGAAGUAGGGAGGUGAGGGAGGUAGGUAGGUAGGUGAGGUAGGUAGGUAGGUGAGGGAGGUAGGUAGGUAGGUAGGUGAGUGAAUGAAGUAGGGAGGUAGGUAGGUGAGGUAGGUAGGUGAGUGAAUGAGGUAGGUAGGUAGGUGAGGGAGGGAGGUAGUUGGUGAGGGAGGUAGGUAGGUAGGUGAGUGAAUGAAGUAGGGAGGUGAGGUAGGUAGGUGAGUGAAUGAGGUGAGGUAGGUAGGUGAGUGAAUGAGGUAGGUAGGG
ensembl:lncRNA